UAAAGCACAAGCUGAAACAGGUGAAAUUAAAGGGCAUUACUUAAAUGCUACUGCAGGUACUUGUGAAGAAAUGAUCAAAAGGGCUGUGUUUGCCAGAGAAUUGGGAGUCCCUAUUGUAAUGCAUGACUACUUGACAGGGGGAUUCACUGCAAAUACUAGUUUAGCACAUUAUUGCCGAGACAACGGCCUACUUCUUCACAUCCACCGUGCAAUGCAUGCAGUUAUUGAUAGACAGAAAAAUCAUGGUAUGCAUUUCCGUGUACUAGCUAAAGCAUUACGUAUGUCUGGUGGGGAUCAUAUUCACGCUGGUACAGUAGUAGGUAAACUGGAAGGUGAACGUGAGAUGACUUUAGGUUUUGUUGAUUUAUUACGUGAUGAUUAUAUUGAAAAAGACCGAAGUCGUGGUAUUUUCUUCACUCAAGAUUGGGUCUCUAUGCCAGGUGUUAUACCUGUGGCUUCAGGGGGUAUUCAUGUUUGGCAUAUGCCUGCCCUGACCGAGAUCUUUGGAGAUGAUUCCGUACUACAGUUUGGUGGCGGAACUUUAGGACACCCUUGGGGAAAUGCACCUGGUGCAGUAGCUAACCGUGUAGCUUUAGAAGCGUGUGUACAAGCUCGUAAUGAGGGACGUGAUCUUGCUCGUGAAGGUAAUGAAAUUAUCCGUGAAGCUUGCAAAUGGAGUCCUGAA
rnacentral:lncRNA from 1 species